rnacentral:piRNA from 1 species
GGGUAUACUUGAUACACAUUCACGGAC